AGGUCUCCGCCCCUGACAAGAAGCGGGUUUGCCAUUGGCCAAAUCGAAGACAGUCUCUGCUGGAAAGAGGCGGAGCCAGGCCCGCGAUUCCUCCACCUGGAGAACUUCCGCCGGAAGCCCUUCCAGGAGGGAGCGAGAGCCGAGCAACCAACGUCAUGUCUUGAUUUACUACCUUAUAUCAAUACCACACUGCCGCCAUUACCAGUACCUGAUAGGACCCCUAUACCUCUAAGGGCUUCAACUGUGUUGUUCUUCAGUAUUGCCGUGAGUGUCCUUGGUCGUCUGCAUUUUCCCGCCUAUUUUAAAAUCAGUGUGUCAAGCUUAACAUCAGUAACAGCAAAGCCUUCCAGGAUUCUGACUAGAGCAUCUUUAUUCCACAGUGUUCUCCCUGCUCUUGGAAAUUUCUUACUUCCCUGGGUAGAGAUAAUUUAUUUAGAAGAAACUAAAUUCACCUCACUAAUUGCUUAUCUUGAUGAAACUAUAACGCCUAUUAGAGUAGGUGUAUCUUUGUUCUCAUUAGACCAGAGUUCUGUAAUGUGGCAGUGGCCCCAGGAAGCAUUUUGUAUGAGACUGCUGUCUUCUCUGGAAAAGCUUUCCCAGCACAGGGUGGCCCAACAGGUCUGUCUUCAGCAGGUUAAGCCUGGAUUUUGGGGUGUGCUUGCCACCCUCUCCACAAUGUUCUUUAGCAUCUCAUAAACCACAACGUGCAUAACUCACCAAGCAGGAAGUGUUCACAUUUCUAUGACUUCUACCAUCACAGAGGUCUGCUGCUCAAGGCCUUGGGUGAAGAUCUGGAAAACAAACCAGGAAGAACUGGAGAAAAUAUUUUUACACUUAUGAUAUCCAACAGAUUGCUCAUCCCUGUCGUAAUUAAGAAGAAACUCUGGGAUGGUGCAGGGCUGCUGGCGAUCCUCCACCCACCCAGCAGAUCUGAGGACUCAGAGAGGUUCGAAUCCCACUCUGUACACCAAGACGGGGCUGUCCUGACCUCGGUCACCCCAGUGACCUUGUGAAUGGAGAUUCUGUACAGCAGGACCUGAUCAAGCCCUGAGGAGUCACACACCAUUUCCCACCACAUCUAAGAAUAAAGGCCGGAAGGACACACAUGUGACCUGCAUGUGCCACUGUCCCUUUGCCACUGUCCUUCUGGCCACCUUGAACAGAAAUUAAAGUACAUGAAGUAUUCGUACCUCUCUUGGAAAAGCUACUGUGGUUACUUUUUCCUUACUAAAAUAGAUUCUCAUUCUCUCUCGCUCGCUGUCUCUCAUUUACCUUGACAGAUGAUGCAGCUGCUCAGUUUUGUUCAAUCAGGCAGAAAUGAAAUCGCACAUUUUAAACACUGUCACUACAAAUAAUUGAUUAUCACUUGUAAGCAGGGGGCCAUUUUUGUGCCUAUUUUAGGAUCCAAGAUUGAGGAAGACUCAACACAGGUUUGUGUAGUACCUUGGUAUGCCUCCCCAUAAUGUACUAAUACACCAUUCAGCUCUUAGUUUCCUUUAAUGGUUGCUGGUUGUCUCCUUUUAUGGAAAUGGGAAUCAAAUCCACUUGUCUUGCUUCUGAACAAGAUUCCACAGCACAGAAUGCUGGUAUUUAGAAUUGUAAUGCAUCCUGCCCAGCACACACUAAACUGCUGCACUUUUACAGGGACAGUCCUCCCUCUGGAAUAAAGCAGCCAUAAGAAAAGAAUAAUUUCAUGUCUCAUACACCUGGGCAGCUAGCAAACCCUAGGCAAUCACAGCAAUUCUCUUUGCCAAGAGCUCGGGUCUUGCAGCAGCUUGUAAUUAGUGUUGUUUAGCAUUUAAUUUGCCUUUAGUUAGGUAACAAGCAUUUAUUGAUUACUUUAUAGGAACGGAGUGCUGUACUAAGCACAGCUCAGGGACAGGGAUGGAUGAGGCACCAGCUCUGCCUAGUGUCUACUUGGGAAUGGAAACGCCUCCUUCGUGAGCAUGGAGAACUCGUGGAAGCCACACCCCACUGCAGAGAUUCUUCCCCCUUCAGAAUUCAGGUUCUGGGUCUGGGCGCACGCUACUCUGCAGAGACACGUGCUGCCACGUCCUGUCUCAUGAUGGAAGUGGAGACAUACCAGUCACCCAUUCUCUGGCCUAAAGAAGGCCAGCCUUUCCUCCUUCUAGAGUCCCCCGAGUGGUGGGGACAUAAGAUAAUGGUAUCCACCAGCCAAUAGAAGUCAGCCUGUCCUCCAUAUUUGGCAACACUCCUGAGGUUGUAGCUUAAAACUGAAGCCUCAAUGUGAACAGAAUUGGGGUACCCCAGAUCCACUCAGAGUGGGGACUGCAUUUAAGGUCAGUGUGGGGCAGGGGUGGACAUGGACAGACGUCACUUAGAAAUGGAGGAGCCGGGGACGUCACUCAGUAAGAGAGCACAUGCUUUGCACUUGUCAGGUCCUGGGUUCAAUCCCCAGCAGUAGCAGGAAGACUUUGCAAGAGGGCACUCAGUCCUUCAAGCUGGGGAGGUGAUGUUGGAAGUGAAGGCCAAGGUUGUGAAGUGGGCGGUGCGGGCCAGCAAACUGCCUGCUCUAGGGUCGGAACACAGACAGCAGCACUCGGCUGACAGGACCAGGCCGGUUGGAUCCAGAGGGCCCUGGGAUGUGCCAGUGGUCUCCCAGGCCUUUCUGUGCUACCCCUUAGUCCCAAGGAAAGCCAGCGAGACACGGCCCUGGUGUCCUCAAGCUGUCUGAGCAGUCACUGUGUCCCAGGUAAGACAUGGGAGGCACAGUAUUGACCAAAGCAGAACUUGUAGCCCCCAGACCCUGUACCUUGCUCAAGGCCUGAAUGUGAAAACUAGCUUCGGCCAGGGACCAGCAUCCAGGCAGAGGGCAUGGCAUACAUGGGCAAGGAGCCAGUGGGUUGGGGCAGACAUGGGCUUCAGCCUGCCAACUGUGUCUGAGAAUUAUUUUUCCUCCCCUCUGGAAACCCAACGUACCACAGAUUGUAGAGUGGAGAACGGGGACACAGAAGCACCAGGGAAAGGCGAUUUCAGCCUCUCGCUGAAGCCUUCUGAGGCUGUGCAGACUGGAGACAAAUCCCUGCAGCUCUGAUGGCAUCCUCCCCUCAGGGAUGGCCCUGCUCAUGGUAUUGUCAUACUUCCAUCCCCAGUCAGUGCCGAGCACCAUGGAUGUACAAGUAUAAAAAGGCAACCUCAGAAAGAGGAAACAUUUUCUGGCUGGUUUUUAUUUUCGAGCAUCCGCUGGCUUUUCAACCUUGCUGUGAACACCACACAUGGGCUCCUCUCCUCCAUGGCAGGAGGCAGAUUUCAGGACCACAGCUCAGACUCUGGUGCCAGCUGCACAGGGCUCCAAGGCUGUGACUCCCGCUGUCUGUCACACAGGCCUGGCAAGGCCGAAGGAGGCCUUAAGACAGUGCCUGUACAGGGGCUGAGCCUCGGGGCAGGUGCUUCUGUGGCGGGCUUCACUGCUGGCCUCAUCCCUCCUCAGCCACACGGUCACCAGGUCCUCUCAGGAGUGGGUCCAGGGAUAGUCUGAUCACUGACUCACAGAGGGCUCCAGUGGGGCAGGAUUUUUGGACCCCAGGUCUGAGACCAUUUUAUCCUGAGAGAAGGAGGGCCCUCCUUGUGGCCCCAGAAACCAUGACAGGGCUAAGGUUUGGAGCAGGAGGGGCACGGCAGAGGAAGUGUCCCGUUCUGGGGUGGUGGACCCACCUCCCUAUGGGUGCCCAUCCCCCUGCAUGGCAUCCACAGCAGCCUCCCCGCCCUUUGGGAGGUCACCAGCCUCCUAGCUCCCCGUUGGCUGUGGAGGUGGUAUCUCCUCGGAGAAGCACACUGGACACACACGGGGAUACGUCCUUGGUCACAAACUGGAGUGCACAGCGAAUGACCCUGCAACCUGCCCCUUGAAGCCUUCCCUUGGCAGAACCCAAGGCCACAGGGACAGGGCAGGUGACAACAUGGGGGUGGGAUGGGAAGCCAGGGCCUCUGUUCCUCACCAGGACUCUUCCCACAAGGACGUUAGUGACAGCUGAGAGCAGACCCAGGGACUUCCCAACCACACCUCAGCAGUGACCAGGAACCAAGCCCUGGGUGGCUAAGGAGAUGUUGGGAAAUGGGGACAGGGAGCAGGGCAGACAGCUGCGGAACAGUGGGGAGUGGAGACAGGAAGGCAGGGUGGUGGGAAACACCAGGCACCGGGUGGUGUGGCAGGGCUGGGAGGGCUGCUGGGUGGGGUAGGCAGUGGGCUGGAGUAUGCAGUGGCCAGGGAGGUCACAGAGGCCGGGACACUUAAGGCUCACGACCUGCUAAAAUGUGCACUGUACGAGGCAGAGGAGAGGACGGCACCUUGUGGAGGAACAGGCCAACUGCAGAACGGGGCCAGCUCUCCAGAGCCCAUACCAGAGGAGUUGCCUGCCCACUGCAAACAGCACUCUGCCGAUGUAGGGGGGUUCCCCACACACUGGGACAGGGCUGCACUAAAAGCACCUGUACUGAGCAGCGUCCUACAGGGCACUGAAUGCCACACACCUCUCUACCAUGGAAAGAGCUGGCAACAGUACUGUGGUCACCGGGG